CAGUCGAGGGGCAGCACAGGUAGCAAUACCGGGUGGCGACCGGCGCACGGGUGAGUAACGCGUAUGCAACUUGCCUAUCAGAGGGGGAUAACCCGGCGAAAGUCGGACUAAUACCGCAUGAAGCAGGGGCCCCGCAUGGGGAUAUUUGCUAAAGAUUCAUCGCUGAUAGAUAGGCAUGCGUUCCAUUAGGCAGUUGGCGGGGUAACGGCCCACCAAACCGACGAUGGAUAGGGGUUCUGAGAGGAAGGUCCCCCACAUUGGUACUGAGACACGGACCAAACUCCUACGGGAGGCAGCAGUGAGGAAUAUUGGUCAAUGGGCGUAAGCCUGAACCAGCCAAGUCGCGUGAGGGAUGAAGGUUCUAUGGAUCGUAAACCUCUUUUAUAAGGGAAUAAAGUGCGGGACGUGUCCCGUUUUGUAUGUACCUUAUGAAUAAGGAUCGGCUAACUCCGUGCCAGCAGCCGCGGUAAUACGGAGGAUCCGAGCGUUAUCCGGAUUUAUUGGGUUUAAAGGGUGCGUAGGCGGCCUCUUAAGUCAGCGGUGAAAGUCUGUGGCUCAACCAUAGAAUUGCCGUUGAAACUGGGGGGCUUGAGUAUGUU
rnacentral:rRNA from 1 species